GAUGAACGUUGGCGGCGUGCCUAAUACAUGCAAGUCGAGCGUACAGAUAAGGAGCUUGCUCCUUUGACGUUAGCGGCGGACGGGUGAGUAACACGUGGGUAACCUACCUAUAAGACUGGGAUAACUUCGGGAAACCGGAGCUAAUACCGGAUAAAAUUUGGAACCGCAUGGUUUUAAAGUGAUAGAUGGUUUUGCUAUCACUUAUAGAUGGACCCGCGCCGUAUUAGCUAGUUGUUAAGGUAACGGCUUACCAAGGCAACGAAUCGUAGCCGACGUGAGUGGCUGUUCGCGAACACUGUAAGUGAGACACGGACCAGAAGCCUACGGAAGGCAGCAGUAGGGGAAGUUCCGCAAUGGACGAAAGCCUUCCGCAGCAUUACGCCCAGAAUGAUGAGGGGCUUCAGGGCGAAAAACCCUCUUAGUAGGAAAAAACUAAUGUGUAAGUAACUGUGCACGUUUAGACAAUACCUAAUCAGAAUGCCACGGCUAACUACGUG
rnacentral:rRNA from 1 species